GGGACCGCUACUUCCCGUUGAUACAGUGGGGUCCGGUUGGUGUUCUGCAAACUAUUUCUAUCUGAUGCCUCUAGGAAACAAUGGGCCUGUACAAUUAGGAAUAGCAGUAAAUAUGAUUCAGUCAGCGUCAGGUUAUAUUAGCAUGCAUCAUUAACAGUUAGAAAUAUUCCACUCUACCCCACUUCCCAUCCAGCUCUCCCCCGGCUCCCUGGAUCAAAGAUACCCUUUCUUAAAUGCAAGUGUCCCAAUUUAGUGUCCUCAUUCGUGGGGGGUCACCGUUUUUGCGUCCAGGAUGCCUGAGUUUGUGCUGAAUAUCCAGUCAGGCAAUCGGUAUCUGCUGUCCAAUGCCCCCUUAUGACCCUCUCCCCCCCCCCCAAAGUAUCUUGUGCCCACCCCGUGUCGGGCAACAACCAUGGUAGAGAGUCAGGGGGUGGCCCAGAGACCCACCCGCAUGCCUGCUUCAGGUGGGUGUCAGCUCCCGUGUGCGCCCUUAAACCCAGGAUCUCCCCUCCCAAAGCUCCAUGUCCCGGAACAUUAACCCAAAGUACCUGUGGGUGUGCCGUGCGUUCUUUUCAUCUCGACAUCAGGGGGUAGAAGUGGGUUGCGUGCGAUAAGCGAUUGGGGUCCAGCCCUCCAGGGACGAUGCGUGAACAGGAAAAGCUGG